ACUUGCCUUCUUUGCCGGCGACCGGCGCACGGGUGAGUAACACGUAUCCAACCUGCCCUUUACUCGGGGAUAGCCUUUCGAAAGAAAGAUUAAUACCCGAUGGCAUAAUGAUUCCGCAUGGUUUCAUUAUUAAAGGAUUCCGGUAAAGGAUGGGGAUGCGUUCCAUUAGGUUGUUGGUGAGGUAACGGCCCACCAAGCCUUCGAUGGAUAGGGGUUCUGAGAGGAAGGUCCCCCACAUUGGAACUGAGACACGGUCCAAACUCCUACGGGAGGCAGCAUG
rnacentral:rRNA from 1 species